rnacentral:rRNA from 1 species
CGCGAAUAGCUCAUUACAACAGCCAUAGUUUAUUGGAUGUUUACGUUCCUACAAGGACACCUGCGGUAAUUCUGGAGCUAAUACUUGCGAAAUGCGACAACCUCACGGGAGUCGUGCAUUUAUUAGAUUAAACCAAUCGGUCCUUCGGGACCGCCAUUUGGUGAACUCUGAAUAACUUAGCUGAUCGCACAGUCUCGUACUGGCGACAAAUCUUUCAAGUGUCUGCCUUAUCAACUUUCGAUGGUAGUUUAUACGACUACCAUGGUUGUAACGGGUAACGGAGAAUAAGGGUUCGACUCCGGAGAGGGAGCCUGAGAAACGGCUACCACAUCCAAGGAAGGCAGCAGGCGCGCAAAUUACCCACUCGCAGAACGCGGAGGUAGUGACGAAAAAUAACGAGGUGGCUCUCUAUGAGGUCCAUCAUCGGAAUGGGUACAAUUUAAAUCCUUUAACGAGGAUCUAUUGGAGGGCAAGUCUGGGCCAGCAGCCGCGGUAAUUCCAGCU